rnacentral:rRNA from 1 species
GCUUACCAAGGCAACGAUGCGUAGCCGACCUGAGAGGGUGAUCGGCCACACUGGAACUGAGACACGGUCCAGACUCCUACGGGAGGCAGCAGUAGGGACUCUUCCGCAAUGGGCGAAAGCCUGACGGAGCAACGCCGCGUGAGUGAUGAAGGUCUUCGGAUCGUAAAACUCUGUUAUUAGGGAAGAACAAAUGUGUAAGUAACUAUGCACGUCUUGACGG